AUGAGACCCUUGUCAUUGCUGGAAACUUGGUUACACCAAACACUGAAGCUCUCUUUGUUGGGCCUAGCAUCUCUUGAACACACCGUUGACAGGCAAAGAUCCAGGAUUCGUUGGCUAAGGGAUGGCGAUGCAAACACUAAACUGUUCCAAGUUGUAGCCAACAGCAGACUUGCCAAUAAUUUCAUCCCCUGCAUCAAGAGAGGCGAUGAAAUCAUCACUGACCAAGUUAGAAAAGAGGAAGUUUUUUCUGAGGCCUUCGAAAACCUGCUUGGGAAGGCCGGAGCCCGUGAUAACACUAUAGACCUUGAGUACCUCCAGAUCCCAGAGUGCAAUCUUGAUGAACUCGAGCUAAUGUUCAUUGAAGAGGAAGUUUGGAACGUGAUUAAAGAGAUCCCUGCCGAUAGAGUUCCAGGCCUCGAUGGAUUCAUUGGUGCUUUCUAUCACAUCGCCUGGCCUUUCAUUAAAGGAGACAUCAUGGCCGCGCUGAUGAAACUGUAUGUGGGAGAUGGAUGA
rnacentral:rRNA from 1 species